GUUUUGCGCUAUCCAAGUGUUUCACAAGCGAUCUGUGAUAAGAAGCUUCCGACCUAGUGGAAGGUUAACAAUGUUUUUAUUUCUCUGUAGUUUCGAACAAUUUUGCAUCAACUAUUGCAACGAGAAACUCCAGCAACUGUUCAUUGAGCUGACAUUGAAAUCUGAACAAGAGGAAUAUAUGAGGGAAGGCAUUGAGGUUUGUGAUAAUAAAAAUUAUAAUAAUAAUGAUUUAUUUAAUGUUGAUUGCACCAGCCGUCAGGUUGUGCAAUUCACCUGAGGCUCCCAACAUUAUCAUGUAUUCUAUUAAAACAUAUUUGGAACACUCACGAAAGCUUUAUUUUGUUCAUUUAAAUCUUGAAAUAUCCUUUGCAACAAUGCGUGACUACCAACUCUCAUCAACUCUUAUCCUCGUUUCACCGAGGCUCAGUUAAACCCUGCUCAAACCACAAUGAGAGUUGAUGAGAGUUGAUGAGAGUUGAGAAGUGAGAGUUUGCAUGAGAGUUGAUGAGAGUUGAGAAGUGAGAGUUUGCAUGAGAGUUGAUGAGAGUUGAGAAGCGAGAGUUUGCAUGAGAGUUGAUGAGAGUUGAGAAGCGAGAGUUUGCAUGAGAGUUUAUGAGAGUUGAGAAGCGAAAGUUUACAUGAGAGUUGAUGAGAGUUGAGAAACGAGAGUUUACAUGAGAUUUGAUGAGAGUUGAGAAGCGAGAGUUUGCAUGAGAGUUGAUGAGAGUUGAGAAGCGAAACUUUCAUCAACUUCCAUAAAAAAAUUUGAACCAGCUCAAAGUUGGUGAGAGUUGAUGAGAGUGCAUGAGAGUCGAUGAACCAACCAAACUCUACUUACCCAAGUUUUCAGACACUGGGAACAAGAGUGGCAUGAGAGUUAAUUAGAGUUGACUGAACGUUCUGUUUAAAUGAACAAAAACUCUCAUCAACUCUUAUCAAAAAGUUGAACCAGCUCAAACUUCAUGAGUGUUCAACCUCAAAAACGACUGUUGGGUUAUGGAAUAUAAUAGUUCUUUAAUCUAUGUUAUAAACUGGAAAAAUUUCAAAGUAUAUUUCAUUCUACCAUACAUUCUAACAUUCUACUCUACAUAAUAUUUACAAAACAUUUCAAACAUGUCCACAUCACAACAGUCAAGAAGUUCUUUGAUCUAUGCUAAAUUUGAAAACUUUCGAGAUAUAUGUCAAAGUUCAAAAAUUCUACGAAAUUAUAUAUAUAAUUAUUUUCGACCAUGUCUAAAUCACGACUGCUGUAGCCAGGUAUCUGUCUUCCUUCAUGUCAGGAAGUUUCUGCCAUGAAAAUCGCUCAAAAUUGAAACCUUCAACUGAUUUCAAACCAUUCCCUCUCUCACCCUUGCCUCCUAGUACUACAAUUGUAUUCUCAAUAACAACUGCCAUACAUCCUUCCCUCUUGUGUAACAUGGGAGGCAACAUAUGACUGUUUCCAGUCUUGAUGUUAUAAAUUAUAACAUUGUUUAAUGCUUUACCAUCCUUGUCAGCCCCACCAAUGAUCACGACAUUCUCAGCCCACUUGACUGUCGCCAUUGCACUCACUGGAUAGGGAAGCGCAGGUAACUGUUGACAUUCAUUCUUCUUGAUGUCAUAGCUUAACACACUGCUCAGGUUGUCUUUGAAGUCCAAUGAUUUCUUUCCCCCAACGAUCAAAAUACUAUCAUCACACAGUACUGUGCUGUGAUGAAGUCUUGGUUCAGGCAUAUUGGAUACCAGUUUAACAGUGUAAGGUGGUUUAAGUUGGACUUCAUGAAUACAGUUAGAAUAGACACCUUGAUCUGCAUCAUAACCUCCAGUAACCACCAAGCUAUCCUUGUAUACCACACUGCUGUGUGCAUGCAUCUUGGCAGGACGUUUGGCAGCAAAAUCACUCCAGUCAAUUGAGAGAUCAGGGACUGGGUGAAUGUUCAUUCGGAUCAUGUUAUUUACAGAAACAGUAGGACACCAACCUCCUGCUACAGUCACGUGAUUAUCGUAAACAAAUGAAGAUGCGCUGUGACGAUACUCUGCCAUGCUCUUUAAUAAAGACCACAAUCUCUGACGGUAGUUAAAUAUUUCUACCGAGUUUGUCCCCCAGCCACCAGCAACAAAUAUAUGUUGAUUUUCUCUCCCGCCACUCGCUGUGCCACUUACAUCUCUUGUGAUUUCCUCCUGCUUUCUUUCUUUGCUCUCUAUCUUCUCAAGUACUGUUUCUUUCAAGUGAUCAAAGCCAUCUUUUACUUCAUUUAAACUCCUUUUUAUUCCUCUCACUUCAUUAUUCACUGCUUCGAGCUUCGUGUUCAUGUUUUCCAGUUUCGUGUCCGUGUUUGCCAUUUUCGUGCCGAUAUUUGCCAUUUUCGUUUUUACAUCUGCUACUUCCGUUUCAAUAUUUGCCAUCUUUGUGUUUGUGUGUGCCAAUUUCGUUCUCGCAUCCGCCUGAUUCGUGCUGAUGUUUGCGAUUUCCGUUUUCAUUCCCGCCAUCAUCGUGCUGAUUUCUCCACAGUUGUGACACUUCAACUUUCUAAAUUGACACAGUUCACUCUCGUGAUAUGUACGAUCUCUUUUACUGAUUGUCUCACCACAACCUUGAUUUCCACAAACGACUGGGGUAAACCUGCAUUUGGCGAGAUGUCGCUUUAAAUUCUGCAGUUGUACGAGUUCUCGACAUCCUCUGUCAUAAUGAUCGCAACGAAUCUUUCGUUCAUUUAGGUAAUCCUUCACAAUUCUUGGACCAUCUUGCAAUGUUUCGACACUCAGUUCGUCAGCGCAUGUUGGGCAUGUAUGGGAAUUCCUACGAAGAUGUUCCGUGAUGCAGCCGCGGCAAAAAUGGUGCUCGUUUCUGCGGCACAUCACGGGGUCUUUCAAUACGUUAUAGCAAAUUAAACAGUGGAAAUUUUGGUCCACUAUCGACUUGAAUCUUUCGUCAUCGUACCCGUGUGGAUAAUUUGAUGCCAUAUUUAUACUCGCUGUUUUCCUAAAUUAAAAAUAAAACAAAUAUUACUUAUUUAACAAUACUGAUCGCUGUGUCUACAAAUCUAAUUGUCCAAAUAGUAUACCUUUAUUUGCCUUCUGUAAAAUAUUUAGUAAACAUUCUUCUCGAACGUUGAACCAAAUGAACAAUAUUAAACGGCAGUAUGUAUGAUCAAAAUUCUGCCACGUAUUCAAAGCGUCUAGAAUAACAACUUGUUUUGCAAAAACACAGCACAAAAUUUGCAUUUUUUUUAAAGAAAUCGACAUGAUGUCUAGCUAUAUGGUAGUUUUCGAUUGGUUGUAUGUUGUAGUGCAAAGGAAUUGCUUUGUUAAAGAUGUUUUCACUUCAGAAUCAGUCGCGCUGUGUAGGGUUACUUGCUCGCUUAAUAAUUUUUUGUGCUAUGAAUACAAGUUACUAGAAAUAUCAAAUAGCAAGUCAUUGAUAUAUAACAUAAAAAAACAUACUUUGUGAAAAUAGGGCUAUCUGGAAAGUUCUGGAAGGAAUCUUGAAAGUCAAUCACACUGUAGGGUGCCUUGUUGGCUCAAUGAUUCUCUGACUAUGUCGAUGAAACUGUAUGAAUACUACAGCAUGAGCUCCACCUUUGAAUUUACUAUAUGAGUAAAUUCUUAAACACGUCCAAAUUUAUCAUUAUGAUAAAUUCGCGGCAAAUUUUGAAUUUAUCAUAAUAAUAAAUUCGCGGCACCUAACACUAACCCUACCCCAACCCCAACCCUAACUUUUUAAACUUUUUUAAAAAUCUAACUUUUUAAACUUUCCCUGCUUUUCAAAACUCUUUUAAAGGUUUUUAAAACUUUUUUAAAAACUAUUUUUUUAAGAAACUUGAAAAAAAUUAAAAAUAUUAAAAAUAAAAUAAAUUGUUGAACUAAGCGUGCAAAAAGAAAUUCAAAACGUCUUCGUUUGGACGUCAGACUUGGAUGAUAGAUGUCAUACUUGGAAUGAUAGAUGUCACCUACUCCCAUUGCGCCAUCCCCCCCCUGUUAUGUGACGUGCUGACGUCAGGAUACCUGGUUCCCAAGUUGCUAACCUUGGUUAUUGCAUAACCUCAUGAAAUUGUUAAAAAAUUUGCUACAAUUGCGAAUCGUGAUCAUUGGUAUAUUUAAGUUAAUGACAUAAGUCAGUAUGUUUCGCAAAUGGCAGUCUAAUUAUACGAAAAUAGAACCAUUUGGAAUAUACAAUUACUUUAUGGUUUCCGUGUUUGGAUGGCUUGAUCCAAACACGGGUUUCGACCAAUCAGAAUACGCGUUAUGUACAUGUUAUUUUAUAAUGAGCCUUCAUUUCAAAAGACACUGCGAGGUGUCUUGCUAGCUUAACAAUUCUCAGCAUCAUAACAUAUCCAUAGCAAGUCAUUGAUAUGUAAAAUUAAAAAACACAUAUCAAGAUUGAUUAGCAGUUGGACGACCUCAGUUACUUUGUGAAGUAGAGCUAUCUGAGUAUCUGGAAAGUCCUGGAAGGAAUUUUGAAAGUCAGUCACAUUGUAGGGUGCCGUGUUGGCUCAAUGAUUCUCUGACUAUGUCGAUGAGACUAAUAGAAAUUGCUAAAUAUUUUAAUACAACUGCAUAUCGUGAUCAGUGGUAUACAAAAAUCAAUGCCAGUAUGUUUCUAAAAUGGCUAUCAAUUGUCGGCAAUAUGGCAGUCUUUAAUAUUAUACGAAAAUAAGGCCAUUUGGAACAAGCCUUCAUUUCAAAGGCAAUAUUAUUCACACUGCGUGGUGUGUUACUGGCUUAACCAUUCUCAGUAUCCAUAGCAACUUCUUGAUAUAUAUUCAAUCACAAACACAAGUCUUGCCAAAUAGAUUGGCAAAUGGUUGGUCUGUUUAUGAAAACCAGGCAGGUCCGCUUAGCGAGACAGCCGUGACAAAAUUUCACCCGCUUGCCGGGUCAAUUAUUUUGUUGUGAUUUGACAGUUGCCAAAAAUAGCAUCUUUGAUCAUUCAUCCCUGUUUUACGUCCAUAUAGGAAGGUUAUUUCAAGUCUCAACUUCUCUGUAGACAAAAGCCUUUUUCAUGUACUUUGUAUUUGGCUUAGAUAAUGCGAAACUAAAUUCUCUCUAUCUCGUAUUGUAAUCAGGUAUUUCAUUCGUGUUGGUGAGAGGUUGAUUAGAGUUGAGAAUUAGCUAGGAUUGGGUUAUUGAAUAGAGUUACAAUUACAAUUACAAUAACAAGGGCCUUUGGCUUCGCUCGAAACGUCGAAAUUCUCCUUAUAUUUUUCAGGUAGUUGCGUCCCUACCAACGAAAACUUGUUAUUUAUAUUGGUACUACCUACACUAUCACAGACAGUUCAUCAUUACAAUUACAAUACAAUACAACUAGGUUAACUUGUUGCUGCGACUAUGUUAAGAUUGAAGUUAGAAUAUGUAGGACAGUGUUGUAUUAAACGAGUCAUGCACAGGUCAAGUCACAAGUCGAAUCACUCAAAAGUCGAGUACACGCGUAAAAACGCACAAGUUGUAACAACUGAAACCUGCAGCAGACUUGUAGCAAUGCUCUUCGUGUCGAGUGCUGAUCGAGUCACGAGUGGAUUCGAGUCAUUGGUUUCACUCGAGUUGAGUUGAGUCAAUGGCUUCAGUCGAGUCGAUAGGCGAGCUUGAAAUGAGUCGGGGAAUUUGAGCAAGUCCACUCCACACUUUCUGUAAUGGUUCAGUACCCUGGCUUGCAGUCUGUGAAAUUAGUCAUAAAAUUCACCUUUAAAUUAAGUCUGGUUCACACUAACCAUUUUGUCGCUGAUUUUUCUCAUCCUGGCGGAUGUAAUUGAGUGAGUGACUUGCAAAAGACUUAUAGAAAUGUUUACUUCUGAAAAGCUGUUCUAUACUUUUGUUGUGAGUUCACUCAUUCGCAUCCGUUAGGAAGAGAAAAUCGCCGACGAAAUCGCCAGUGUGUACCAGGCUUUAAGUGAAUUACUUUAGUCAUUUAAUAACAAUAUCUCGACAGCUAGCCUCGACCAAUAUUACAAAUAUGAUCAACACUUUAUAUUGAAUAUCUUCAUUACGCUUUUAAAAUCAACAUCAAAUUUAAUGUUAGCACUCCACAGAUACCAGACAUUAAAAGAGCUGGUCAAAAUUAGUAAGGACACAAAAUUCGGAGACUGUAGUUUUGCGCGUUUGAAUGCGUGUGUAUAUUUUCAUGUCUGUCUAUGUGAUUAUGCACAUAAAUCAAUCAACUAAUUGACCUUUAAAUAAUGCAAUCAAUGAAUGUAACAUUGUAGUUAAUAAUUAAUCAAGCAAUCGAUAUUUUUUCGGGCAACUUUUAAAACUAUUUUCUCCUCGGUAGGAUGAAGAAUGCUUGAGUCCUGGUGAUGUUUCUGACAUGACAUUUUUAUCGAAAUUAAUCACGUGUAUUGGCAAACAUGAACAUUUUGUAUGGUAGGUCUGAUACGCGCCUAAAAUAAUCUCACAGUUUAUCAACAAGAUGUGUUCGUAUUGCUUGUUUCCAGUCUGGAAUAUGUUGUUAUCAUCUUGUAAGAAGGUUGACCAAAACUUGUUGCCCUAAGUUGUCAACAAGUUUGGAACAAACUGUUGAUAACUUGGAACAAUUUUGUUGACAUUAUCGUACUUGUUGCAAGGUUGUUUCAACAAAUCCGUUACAGUCAUGAUAUAACAAUAUUGUUACAAACUUGUGUUGUCAAACUUGUAACAUUCUUGUCAUAUCAUGACUGUAUCAGAUUUGUUAGAACAACGUCUCUACAAAUCUGAUAAUGCCAUCGAGCUUGUUCUAAGUUGUUAACAGCUUGUUCCAAACUUGUAACAACAACUGGGAACAAGCAGUGCGAACACAACUUGUCGACGGCUUGUGAACAGAAUUGUGACAACAGACCUGCAACAACUUGUGUGCAUUUUUACGUGUACCUAAUUAGAUUAAAGACAAUAUAUUUCUAAAGUUUGAAUCAUGCAGAUCAUUAAAAAUUUGCAUAGCAUGACCUGUUGCUGUGACUAGCUUCGCCACUGAAUCAAACUAUAUAUUAAAUUAAACCUAAGGCAAAAGCGUGCUUGUGGAACAAGUUGUUAUCACCUUGUUGCAAGGUUGAUGACGGUGACAGACUUGUUACAAUUUGUUCCAACAAGACUAGUAUACAGGCUGUUCGUAACAAGUUGCAACGAGCUUGUUGUCAUCAACUUGUUAACAACUUGUAACGUGUAGACGAUACACUCGUAAAAACGCACAAGUUGUUACAGGUCUACAAACAAGUUGUUACAAAUGUGUUCACAAGCUGUCGGCAUGUUGUGUUCGCACUGCUUGUUCCCAGUUGUUUUAACAAGUUUAGAACAAGAUGUUUAACAACUUGUAACAAGGUUGAUUAGGCCAUCAGACUCGCCAGAAGUUGUUUCAACAAUUCUGAUAUAGUGUGCACGUGAAAGGACGUUGAUGACAACAAGCUCGUAGCAACUUGUUACGAACAGCCUGCAUUAGUCUUGUUGGAACAAAAUGUAACAAGUUUGUUACCGUCAGCAACCUUGUAACAAGGCGAUAACAACUUGUUCCAGACUUGUCACAACAACUGGGAACAAGCAGUGCGAACACAUCCUGAUAGUGGCUUGACAACAACCUUGUUACAAUUUGUUUGCAGACCUGUAACAACUUGCACAUUUUUACCAGUGUAUAGGGCAUAAUUCGGAAAUGGCUUAUUGGCUACACACGUAAAAAUGCACAAGUUGUUACAAACAUGCAGCAGACUUGUAGCAAUGCUGUUCCAACGAUUUGUCAACAGGAUGUGUUCGCACUACUUGUUCCCAACUUGUUGACAACUUGCUACAAGGUUGUUGAGCUCAACAGACUGUAAUUCAACAAUUUGUCAAUUUAACCAUUUGUCAACAAGUUGUGAGUGACAACCUUGUAGCAACUUGAUAAAAAACAGCAGUGUUUCAACUUGUUCACAAGCUUGCUACAAGUCCGUUGCGAACAAAUAUUGUUGACAAGUUUGGGGUUUUUUCGUUGUGUAGUCAUUAUUAAAUAAUUUUGGUUUUUGUUUUGUGCUAUCUACUGUAAGUGUUGUGUUUCACAAACGAUCUGGGAUAAGAAGCUUCCGACCUAGUUACAGUCAAUUUCAGCUGACUUUUCAUCGUAAGAUUCCGAACUUCCUUCCGAACUUCACAAAUUCGUUGCCAAGUUCAAAAGUUCAUAAUGAAAUUCACAAACAGGUUUGUAAACUGGGCAUUUCAUUGGCUGGUUUGAUUUAAUACCCAAUCAGAGGCUUUGUUUACAAACCUGUUUGUGAAUUUCAUUAUGAACUUUUGAACUUCGCAACGAAUUUACGAAGUUCGGAAUCUUACGAUGAAAAGUCAGCUGAAAUUGACUGUAAAGGUUAACAAUGUUUGUUUUUUCUGUAGUUUUGAACAAUUUUGCAUCAACUAUUGCAACGAGAAACUCCAGCAACUGUUCAUUGAGCUGACAUUGAAAUCUGAACAAGAGGAAUAUAUGAAGGAACAAGGAAGGCAUUCAGGU